GAUGAAGAACGUAGUGAAAUGCGAUAAGUAAUGUGAAUUGCAGAAUUCAGUGAAUCAUCGAAUCUUUGAACGCACAUUGCGCCCCUUGGUAUUCCGAGGGGCAUGCCUGUUCGAGCGUCAUUAUAACCCUCAAGCUCAGCUUGGUGUUGGGGCCUGCUGCACUGGCAGCCCUUAAAAUCAGUGGCGGCGCCAUCUGGCUCUAAGCGUAGUAAUUCUUCUCGCUAUGGAGUCCUGGUGGAUGCUUGCCAUCAACCCCCAAUUUUUCUAUGGUUGACCUCGUAUCAGGUAGGGAUACCCGCUGAACUUAAGCAUAUCAAUAAGCGGAGGA
rnacentral:misc_RNA from 1 species